GACUGAUCUUUCAAGGCACACAGAAUAGUGUUCUACGUGUUUGUGUUCUAAUAUAUUUCUGCUUUUUUCCGUUCUUUAGUGAUCAGCAGCAGAACAUACUGUAGAAAGCAUACUAAGAGGCGUGGCAGGGGGCGUCCAAAGUGCGGCCCACAAUGGGCUGUGAAUGCUGAACGGAGAAUGUGCGGAGGUCCACUGUGUAGCAUGUGAGCACGCAUAACUCCUCAUUUGCAAUGGGACCCCGUUUACGCUGUGUUAACUCCGGCGUGGAAUGCACAGACACACACGUAAGAUUACCAGCCUCACGCCCGGACUUGUAAGAGCCCACCACCGCCGUCGCCGCCUCCGCACCCCACUUUUGUGUGCUCUCUUCUGCCACACAAACAUGCCACCCCCCCCCCCCGAAACAUUUCUCAGUAACAGAUGUCUGCAUUUAAGAAGAUAAACACAUUGCCUCAAUGCACUUAUGUCAAAUGCUCCUUCAUUUACACCUCAUAGCCCCCGUCAGGUUCCCGGUUUGACUCCAAUCCACACCCUACGUACAACCUCCAUAAAUCCAAUCUCCAUUCAUCAUUACAGUCGCUGCAGUGACAUCUGACCUUUUAUGUUGUCGCCCUGGCGUUUAAACACACAUAUGCUAAUGUGUACGUGUGCCUUCGACCGCGUUCAUCAGCUACUCGCUGACAUGAAGAUGAAGAUCCACGUGUGUCAUCACAGAUUGGAACGGUUUAGUCAUUCAUCUUCUUGCUUAAAACGAUGCAAUCCUGGCCGGUUACGUCGACAACCGUUUAUGUUGACAUCAGUCAGCGAGGGCGAGGGGCGUCAACGUAAAACAGGUUCCACGGUUGACAUGUGUGACUCAUGAAGGAGUUGUUUUUUUUUACAGAAUCGGGUGCUGAUCUCUGUUAACAUCGUUCACUAACUCACCCCAGCUACCGCUAGCGGAAUUAAAGAAGAAACCCGUUAGCAUGUCACUAAUUAUGCAACUGUUACUCUAACUGCGUUUGUAUAAAAUGUGUUAGCCCCGUUCCUUGCCUCGAAUCGACUCUCCUUUCCCCCUCCUGCCCGAGCUGCAUCACAGACUCCACAAAACCAACGAUUCACUCGCUCAGGCUUUCACUAACUCACGGGUGCGCAACAAAAACUGGAGUUUCACUAACUGGCAGGUGCUUGACUCGAGUUUCACUGACUCAGGAAUACUCAAUAAAGACUCAAGUUUCACUGACUCACGGGUGCUUGGCAAAGACUGGAGUUUUACUGACUCACGGGUGCUCGCCGCAGACUGGCGCUUCACUGACUCAUGGGUGCUUGACAAAAACGCAAGAUUCACUAACCCUCGCGUACUCGACAAAGACCGAAGUUUCACUGACUCACUGCUCGACGAAGACUGGAGUUUCACUGACUCAUGGGUGCUCAGAGAAGGCUCAAGAUACUCUAACUCAGGGGUACUCGGCAGACACUGGAGUUUCACUGACUCACAGGUGCUCAAAGAAGACUGGAUUUUUACUGACUCACGGGUGCUUGACAAAGACAUGACUUUCACUGACUCACGGGUGCUUGGCAAAGACUGAAGUUUCACUGACUCACGGCUGCUCGACAAAGACUGUGGUUUCAUUGACUCACUGGUUCUCAAUUUACACAGACUCAAGGGUGCUCGAUAAAGAAUGAAGUUUCACUGACUCACCGGUACUCAACUUACACCGACUCACAAGGGCUUGACAAAUACUGGAGUUUCACUGAUUCAGGGGUACUUGACGAAGACUUGAGUUUCAUUGACUCGCGGGUGCUCGAAGAAGGCUCGAGAUUGACUAAUUCUGGGGUACUCGGCAAAGACUCGAGUUUCACUGACUCAUGUGUGCUCGACAAAAAAGAGUUUCACCGACUCAGAAGUGCUUGACAAAUACUGGAGUUUCACUGACUUGCGGGUGCUUGACAAAGGCUCGAGAAUGACCAGCUCUGGGGUACUCUGCAAAGACUGGAGUUUCAUAGACCCACAGGUGCUCGACGAAGACUGAAGUUUCACUGACUCACGGGUGCUUGACAAAGACUGGAGUUUCACUCGCUCACGGGUA